rnacentral:rRNA from 1 species
CAAUAGCGUAUAUUAAAGUUGUUGCAGUUAAAAAGCUCGUAGUUGGAUUUCUGGUGGGAGCGAUCGGUCUGGCGCUUAGCGCGAGUACUUGCAUCGUCUCCGGCCAUCCUUGGGGAGAGUCUGUCUGGCAUUAGGUUGUCGGGCAGAGGAUCCUCAUCGUUUACUGUGAAAAAAUUAGAGUGUUCAAAGCAGGCUUAUGCCGUUGAAUAUAUUAGCAUGGAAUAAUAAGAUAGGACUUUGGUACUAUUUUGUUGGUUUGCGCACCAAAGUAAUGAUUAAUAGGGACAGUUGGGGGUAUUCGUAUUCCGUUGUCAGAGGUGAAAUUCUUGGAUUUACGGAAGACGAACUACUGCGAAAGCAUUUACCAAGGAUGUUUUCAUUAAC